rnacentral:rRNA from 1 species
GGAGCCGUAGCGAAAGCGAGUUUUAACUGAGCGUUCAGUUACUUGACGUAGACCCGAAACCGGGCGACCUACCCAGGAGCAGGAUGAAGCGAAAGUAAAAUUUCGUGGCGGUCCGAACCCACGAGCGUUGAAAAGCUCGGGGAUGACUUGUGGGUAGCGGUGAAAUUCCAAUCGAGCCCGGAGAUAGCUGGUUCUCCCCGAAAUAGCUUUAGGGCUAGCCUCAAGGUGAGAGAUAC